ACCUUUACAGAGGUGAACGGAAAACUUUCUCUACUGUGUAGAUUGUCUGUUUGCCUGCCGUAAAGAUACUGUAGAGAUUGUUAUGAAUAUAUGCUGAGUCUCAAUCCUAAAUUGACAAGACAAUAAGGGGAUAUUUGCUGAUGAAAAGCAGGUGAUAUAACAGUCGCAAAAGGUGUGGCUGACCUAUCUGAACUCUCCAAUGUGACUCUCUCUUUGAAGUAUAUGGCAGCUACUGUAGCUAUGGUGCUACUACGAAUGGAAUAACAACCCCAAAGAGAUACUUAGGUAUCGGGCAUAAAACUGAAUGAGGGUCCAUUUAUUUCACAAUGCAUUGAAACCCUGUGCCGUUUCUGUGUGUUUCAGUGCAGCUAAAAACUGGAGAUAUCCUAUCCUUGCACGUAUUGAUAACAAGCUGUAGGAUAAAAAUAAAUCCAGCACAACUUGAACUCAUCAGACAUCCGGACGGGCAGGCCCCAGCUGGUGAAGGUAGGCAACAACACCUCUGCCAUGCUGACCCUCAACACGACGGCCUCUCAGUGGUGUGUACUUAGUACCCUCCUGUACUCCCUGUUCACCCAAGCGCAACGGAGGGUGGUGCAGACAGCCCAGCACAUCACUGGGGCCGAGCUCCCUGCCAUACAGGACCUAUAUCAGGCUGUGUCAGAGGAAGGUCCAAAAAAUUGCGAAAGACUCCAGCCUCCCAAAACAAUAGACUGUUCACUCUGCUACCGUCCAGCAAAUGGUACCGGAGCAUUCGCUCUCUGACCAACAGGCUCUGAGACAGCUUCUACCCCCAAACCAUUAGACUGCUAAAUAGCCAGACUGUUAAAUAGUCAAUUAAUGGUACCUGAACUAUCCUGCACUGACCCUACGCACACUCACUAGAUUAUAUAUGCAAACCAUAUAUACUCAUACACACUACAAACCCCACACACAUUCACAUACACUACACUUUUAUGCUCCUACUCUUGUUCUUUAUUUUACUCUUAUUGUUAUCUAUCCUGAUGCCUAGUCACUUUACCCUGCCUUCAUGUACAUAUCUACGGCAGGUAGCCUAGUGGUUGGAGCAUUGGGCAAGUAACCGAAAGGUUGUUGGAUUGAAUCCCCGAGCUGACAAGGUAGAAAAAUCUGUCAUUCUGCCCCUGAGGAAGGCAGUUAACCCACUGUUCCCCGGGUGCAGUGGAUGUUGAUUAUGGCAGCCCCCCGCACCUCUUUGAUUCAAAGAAUGUGGAAGACACAUUUCAGACUAGGUAUCCCCCUUUCCCUACCUCAAAUAUGUCAUACCUCUGCACAUUGAUCUGGUACUCCCUGUGAAUUUUGUUGUAUUCCUCGUGUUACUAUUUUAUUUUUAAACUCUGCAUUGUUGGGAAGGGCUUGUAAGCAAGCAUUUCACUGUAAAGUCUACUCUAGUUGUAU